UACGGGGGGGGCAAGCGUUGUUCGGAAUUACUGGGCGUAAAGGGCUGGUAGGCGGCCAACUAAGUCGGAUGUGAAAUCCCCAGGCUUAACCUGGGAACUGCAUCCGAUACUGGUCGGCUUGAAUCCGGGAGAGGGAUGCAGAAUUCCAGGUGUAGCGGUGAAAUGCGUAGAUAUCUGGAGGAAUACCGGUGGCGAAGGCGGCAUCCUGGACCGGCAUUGACGCUGAACAGCGAAAGCGUGGGGAGCGAACAGG
rnacentral:rRNA from 1 species